rnacentral:lncRNA from 1 species
CUAUGUCAUGGCCAUAUUAUGUUACAUUAUGACCGCGUUAUCUUACUAUCCUUACUAAUACAAACACGUUAUGUUACUGAUACGAUGGCGUUAUGACCAUCUUAGGUAUCGAAAUAGAAUGUUGAGAAACCACAUGUGAAGAGAAAGCCUAUCGAGCGGUCACAAAUAAAUCGAAAAAGUAUUCUUCUCAUGCAUAGAGCUAGUAUUAUGCCUAUGUGGAGCUCAUCACAUCAACGUCAGUGGCCGGCUUCAAUCGUCCCACCCAUGUGGACCCAUUUUGCCGGAAUUGUAGGCGGUUGGCAAACCCCGAUGCCGUCCAAUCGAGUGCUCACAGAUCUGGUUCGAACGCACCGCCCAGCUAUUCUUAUUCUUUUGGAAACCGAUUGAUAUUAAAUAUACCAUAAUAUUUGACACUUAAUUUGCUAAUCUUAAUGCCAUAAUAUCAAUCGCAAUCGGAAGUUUUGAUGAAAAUUGGUGAUAUUACCCUUAAUUUCGUAAAUUCAACCCUUGGACCUUCAUGGUUCAUUUUUAUGUUGUUUCUAGUGUUUUAAUGACAUUUCAAUUCACACAAUUAUAAAGAGAUGAAUUUCAAAUCCAAUGAUACAAACCGAAGGUAAAUCAGAUUCUGAACGAAGAUGUUACGGCUGUUUUACGAUCCACCGCUCAACCGAUUGCCGGAAGGACAACUGGGCAUGGGUGAGGACGUCAGCACAUGUAGAUAUGUACAUCAUCAAGGACAACUACAUCAUGCAUACAACUGAUGGAGUAGGUGCUGGAGGCUUUAAUACGCCAUUUUUUGAGCCUAUAUAACAACAACUCUUCUCCACUUCGAAAACACAUCAUACACACACCAUAUCAGACCUCCAAGCUUAGUUACUCUGUCCCAAGGCGUCCUCCUUCAGCCCGGGAACGUGCCACUUCAAACCGCACACAAUUCAGAGCCCUGGAGGUGAAUAAAUCCAUUCCGGAACUUCCGUUCGGCAUUGCUGAAUUUUACGACGACAGAGAGUUCUUGAAUCUCGGAGCUCCAGGUUCAUGUAUUAUCUCCAUUUCUGUGUUGUUAACAUGAUUAUCAUGUGUAACUAAGUUCCACCUCUGUUCGGAUUUGAUGAAACCUUGAUUAUGUGUUAAUUCGGCAUUAUUUCGAUUGGGUUUAUGCAAAACUAUAGUUAAUUUCGUUCUUAUCUUUCUCUUGCAUUUAGCUACUUCUAUAUCUUGUAAUUGCCGAAUUCUAGUUGUAAGAUUAUCGUUGAGAUUCGGUUUAGAUACAAAAGUGCGACUAAAUUGUUGGGAAUAUGCAGUUUUAAUCAAACCAACCCGAGUCCAAGCUAUUGAUCAAACCAACAGCCAAACUAAACAGAACGACACCGUCUCAUGGUUACCGUUAAUCUAAACAGAAUAUGACCGUUGGAGCAAGAGGGAGAGAUGAUGAUCGCCUUCUGAUUUCCCUCCUGAUUUUGCUCAACCAACGAUCUUCCGGAGGUCGUGGGGUGAACCACGGUGAUGGAAUGGAGACUGCUACUCCAUAUAAAACCAGAGUGCUCAUCACCCCAGUAGAGCAGUAGAUUAACACAGAAACCAUUGAUCAUUAGAGUUGAGAUAGUGAUUACCUUGAGAGCAUUUUUCCAGCACCUUUGAUUGUUGUGGUGUAAGGGAAAUAGCUUUAAGGGCAGUGGCUCCUCCACGAUCACUUGCUUUACACGUUACUUGACUCUCUUCUCUUCCUGCUAAAGUUGUUUGAUUCUGUCCCUAACAUAAAUACCCGAAUGCCAAGGGUUAGAAUCGUCGUCUCCGCUACACUCGAGAGAGGGGCGGAACAUCGAUCCGCUUUGGAAUUGAUUUUCUGAUUAAUCAUUAUUCUAUUUUUAAUGCACUUGGUAAUUAACUCUAAUUAGUCUCAAGAGAGCGGUUAGAUUAUUAUCGAGUAGGGAAUCUAUGAUACGAAAGUGCUUAAAUUCUAGUUUUGGAUUAAACGCGGUAAUUGCUUUUUCACGUAUAGUUAAGCAUAACACUUUCGGAAUAAUUUACUUAAUUAUCAUUGUUUCUUGGUGAAUUCAUUUCCGGACAGGUUGCUAGCAUCCAUUAAACUCGAUUCCAACUCUCGUGCUUCCAUACCCGCUAUUCCAACGACUCGACUUUUAUUCUCUCACUUUCCGGAGUAAUAUUCCGAACGGAACCUCGUGAAUACGAUCUCGAUUUUACCGAGUUUAUCUUUGAACUCGCCUUCGGGUGGGAUUAGAAACUCUGGACACUAUGCAGAAGAUGGAGACAGUACACGCAUCUAUAGGCUUCGAGGCUUGUUUUGUGGUGGAAGUUGUAGGGCAUAUUGGUCUAUCUACACUAAUCCCUCCUACAUGCACUACACUAAUACCCCACCCGAAUGAAGAAGACAUAGACAUUUAGCCAGGAUCAGACACAAAAGAACUCCAUUCCACCUGCUGCACAUAAAAAAAGUGUCAUACGCACAACAUGUAACCAAUUGUCGGAGCUAACCAUAAUAAAAACCUGUGAAAUGUCUCUAGACUCUUCCUGAAAAUUUCAAUAAUUUCUUUCACGCCAAAUGGACCACAAGACGAAUGGAUAAAUAGCCUUUUUAGACUGUUAAAGCGGGAUAGGCAGUUCAUCCAUUUCCAUGCCACGUUCAUGAAACUCAAUCAAACACUAUCAAUCUCGAUGACAAUUGAUCAAGAAAGUAGAGAUUUGAUAAAUUGUAAAUGAAGAAGUAAACUAGUGAAGAGGAAUCGAAUUUCUUCUUCUUCCUUUACUUCACGUUGCCGAAAUGAGAACAAAUAGGAUAUAAAAAUCCUAUCUUAAAUAUGGGCUAUAGCUUAUAACUACGGCCCAAUUAUUUAGUCAAUUAAUUUCAGCCCAAGACCAAUGUUCAGUUCUACGGAUUAAUUUACGAUAAUUACGAGAAUUAAGAACACAAUGUUUUAACGUGGUAUCGGAAACUCAGCCUACUCCAUGCCCGAUGAAUGAUUAUCCCAAGAGUUAUAUUAUUAUCACAAAUUAAAUAACGUACCUUCAUAAACUAACAAAGUGACAACAACCUUUGCACACACGCAAAGUGACAAUCCUCCGAAAUCGGAGUGACAACUUCUACCUGUGAUCUCUCGAGAACAAGAGUAACGAUACAGAUUGUCACUCACCAAAAAUCUUAUCGACUAACCAGAUCACUCCACUCACACUCUUUUCUCUCAAUCACAGUCUAUCGACUUUUCACUCAAAUACGAUAGUGACAAUGAAGCUUUAAAGAAUAGAGCACUUGCUUGUGAAUUGGUGAUUUGCUC